GCAGGACUUAUUUUGGUGUAUUAGUAUUAACUUUUUGUAUCACACAGCUAUGUUACAAUGCUGCCGUCCACCCCAUGUGUUCCCUAUUAAGGGUUAAUAAGUAUAUAGGGGUUUAGAAAAAUCCCUCUCUCUUGCUGCCGCCCAAGAGUUGUGGGAGUUUAAGCACAGGACUUAUUUUUGUGAAUUUAUAAAACAAGCACGGCUACAC